rnacentral:rRNA from 1 species
AGUGGGGAAUAUUGGACAAUGGACUAAAAGUCUGAUCCAGCAAUUCUGUGUGCACGAUGAAGGUUUUCGGAUCGUAAAGUGCUUUCAGGUGGGAAGAAGAAAGUGACGGUACCACCAGAAGAAGCGACGGCUAAAUACGUGCCAGCAGCCGCGGUAAUACGUAUGUCGCAAGCGUUAUCCGGAAUUAUUGGGCGUUAAGCGCGUCUAGGCGGCCUUUUAAGUCUGAUGUGAAAAUGCGGGGCUCAACUCCGUAUUGCGUUGGAAACUGGAAGGCUAGAGUAUCAGAGAGGUGGGCGGAACUACAAGUGUAGAGGUGAAAUUCGUAGAUAUUUGUAGGAAUGCCGAUGGGGAAGCCAGCUCACUGGAUGAAUACUGACGCUAAAGCGCGAAAGCGUGGGGAGCAAACGGGAUUAGAUACCCCGGUAGUCCACGCCGUAAACGAUGAUCACUAAGUGUGGGGGGUCGAACCUCCGUGCUCAAGCUAACGCGAUAAGUGAUCCGCCUGGGGAGUACGUACGCAAGUAUG